rnacentral:rRNA from 11 species
AUACCACUCUGAUCGGAUUGGAUAUCUAACCUUGGCCCAUGAUCUGGGUUGGGGACAGUGCCUGGUGGGUAGUUUAACUGGGGCGGUUGCCUCCCAAAAUGUAACGGAGGCGCCCAAAGGUUCCCUCAACCUGGUUGGCAAUCAGGUGUUUUAGAGUGUAAGUGCACAAGGGAGCUUGACUGUGAGACAGACAUGUCGAACAGGGACGAAAGUCGGGACUAGUGAUCCGGCACCUACUUGUGGAUGUGGUGUCGCUCAACGGAUAAAAGGUACCCCGGGGAUAACAGGCUGAUCUUCCCCAAGAGUCCAUAUCGACGGGAUGGUUUGGCACCUCGAUGUCGGCUCGUCGCAUCCUGGG